rnacentral:rRNA from 1 species
UAGUGGCGAACGGGUGCGUAACACGUGGGCAAUCUGCCGAGGAGUGGGGGAUAGCUCGCCGAAAGGCGAAUUAAUACCGCAUGUGGUGAGGGACGACAUCUUCCUGAAUCCAAAGCCGGGGCAACCUGGCGCUUUUUGAGGAGCCCGCGGCCUAUCAGCUAGUUGGUGAGGUAACGGCUCACCAAGGCAUUGACGGGUAGCUGGUCUGAGAGGACGACCAGUCACACUGGAACUGAGACACGGUCCAGACACCUACGGGUGGCAGCAGUCGAGAAUUUUUCUCAAUGGGGGAAACCCUGAAGGAGCGACGCCGCGUGGAGGAUGAAGGUCUUCGGGUUGUAAACUCCUGUCAUUUGAGAACAAGGCGCACGUAUUAACUGUACGUGCGUUGAUAGUAUCAGAAGAGGAAGGGACGGCUAACUCUGUGCCAGCAGCCGCGGUAAUACAGAGGUCCCAAGCGUUGUUCGGAUUCAUUGGGCGUAAAGGGUGCGUAGGUGGCGCUGUAAGUCAGGUGUGAAAUCUCGGGGCUUAACUCCGAAACUGCAUUUGAUACUGCGGUGCUUGAGGACUGGAGAGGAGACUGGAAUUUACGGUGUAGCAGUGAAAUGCGUAGAGAUCGUAAGGAAGACCAGUGGCGAAGGCGGGUCUCUGGACAGUUCC